ACGGGAGGCAGCAGUGGGGGAUAUUGCACAAUGGGGGAAACCCUGAUGCAGCGACGCCGCGUGAGUGAUGAAGUAUUUCGGUAUGUAAAGCUCUAUCAGCAGGGAAGAAAAUGACGGUACCUGACUAAGAAGCUCCGGCUAAAUACGUGCCAGCAGCCGCGGUAAUACGUAUGGAGCAAGCGUUAUCCGGAUUUACUGGGUGUAAAGGGAGCGUAGACGGUGACGCAAGUCUGAAGUGAAAGGUGUGGGCUCAACCCGCAAACUGCUUUGGAAACUGUGUGACUAGAGUGUCGGAGAGGUAAGUGGAAUUCCUAGUGUAGCGGUGAAAUGCGUAGAUAUUAGGAGGAACACCAGUGGCGAAGGCGGCUUACUGGACGAUAACUGACGUUGAGGCUCGAAAGCGUGGGGAGCAAGCAGGAUUAGAUACCCUGGUA
rnacentral:rRNA from 1 species